rnacentral:rRNA from 1 species
AACCCCUAUUGCUAGUUACCAUCAUUAAGUUGGGGACUCUAGCGAGACUGCCAGUGAUAAACUGGAGGAAGGUGGGGAUGACGUCAAAUCAUCAUGCCCCUUAUGACCUGGGCUACAAACGUGAUACAAUGGCUGGAACAAAGGGAUGCGAAGCAGUGAUGUGGAGCGAAACCCAUAAAAACAGUCUCAGUUCGGAUUGAAGUCUGCAACUCGACUUCAUGAAGUCGGAAUCGCUAGUAAUCGCCGGAUCAGAACGCCGCGGUAGAAUACGUUCUCGGGGUUU